CCUACGGGGGGCAGCAGUGGGGAAUAUUGGACAAUGGGGGGAACCCUGAUCCAGCCAUGCCGCGUGUGUGAAGAAGGCCCUCGGGUUGUAAAGCACUUUCAGUGAGGAAGAACGCCUGGUGGUUAAUACCCAUCAGGAAAGACAUCACUCACAGAAGAAGCACCGGCUAACUCCGUGCCAGCAGCCGCGGUAAUACGGAGGGUGCGAGCGUUAAUCGGAAUUACUGGGCGUAAAGCGCGCGUAGGUGGCUUGAUAAGCCGGUUGUGAAAGCCCCGGGCUCAACCUGGGAACGGCAUCCGGAACUGUCAAGCUAGAGUGCAGGAGAGGAAGGUAAAAUUCCCGGUGUAGCGGUGAAAUGCGUUGAGAUUGGGAGGAAUUCCAGUGGCGAAGGCGGCCUUCUGGACUGACACUGACCAUGAGGUGCGAAAGGGUGGGUAGCAAACAGGCUUAGAUACUCCAGUAGUC
rnacentral:rRNA from 1 species